rnacentral:rRNA from 1 species
UACGAAGGGGGCUAGCGUUGCUCGGAAUGACUGGGCGUAAAGGGCGCGUAGGCGGUUUGGACAGUCAGAUGUGAAAUUCCUGGGCUCAACCUGGGGGCUGCAUUUGAUACGUUCGGACUAGAGUGGGGAAGAGGGUCGUGGAAUUCCCAGUGUAGAGGUGAAAUUCGUAGAUAUUGGGAAGAACACCGGUGGCGAAGGCGGCGACCUGGACCAGCAUUGACACUCAAGCACGAAAGCGUGGGGAGCAAACAGG